AUCCCCGUUUGCUCAUUCUUACCGGUGUACCAUAUGUUUCUAUCGGUUUCUUGUUUCUUCUACAGCCGUAGACUUGCGCUGGUUUCUUCUCUCUUUUGUUGGUUUCUCUCUUCCUCCUUAUGCCCCUAGGUUUAUCAAGUUAUCGCCGUCUAGCGCCCGAUCUUUUUCCACGCUGUUGGCCUCCCAAUACUCACUUGCGAAUCUUUUUAUUUUGUAGUUGUAUGACCACGAUUGAGUGAGUGGGUUACUUGUUCUGUGAGUUUGGAUUUGGUUCAUUCUUUUCUGCUCACUAGCUAUCUUCUCUAAUUUGGAUGUUGUGAUUGGCUUUUGAUGCAGUUUUUUGUUACAUCUUUUGGAUUGCUUGCUUUUGGUGCAAAGAGUUUUGUGAUCGGCGGGUUAUGGUUUUUGAUAAAGGGAGAGGGGAUUUCUCAAUUUGUGAUUUUUGUUGAUGAAUUUUGGUUUGUAGUUUUCAAUCGAAUUGGUUGCUAACCAAUUUUGGGUGUGAUUUUUUUAUUUUUUCUAGGUUUGCUUAUUUGAAGAUAUUUGAGACUUGGAUUUGUAUAUAUUUGAUUUAGAGGAAUUGCAUAGUGUGAGGAGAAUAAGGUCGACUAGAAAGUUAGGAAGUUCUGCGGCAAGGUCAGUCCGUUUUGCUGCUGAAAUUUUGAGAUAUUUCCUAAUGUCAUUUAAGGGUGUUGAAUUUCUGUGCAUAUCAAUAAUCAACUAGACUGUUAGGUUACCAACAUUGCUUUUCCUUCUGAGUUCAAAUGAAUUUGUUUUUUGACAUUCAGUCUGGUUUUUCUUUUGUUUGUUUUUGGUUGCAUAUGGUUUUGUGCAAUUUGUCCUUAGUUUCUUAGAGUAUUCUUCAUGUUCUUUUAUUCUGGAUCUGGAUCUGUUUGUUAAGCAUUAGUAGUUGUUUCUUCCAUGUUUGGUUUAUGGAUUUGCUUCUGACAACUGUUGUCAAUAUAUAUAUGUAUAUGAGUCAAUCUGGCAAUGACAGAUCAACCCUAUUGUAGUAGGAUUUAUAUUAGGAUUACAGGGCCCCACUCUAAAUUGACCAUGGACUUGAAAACCAAGACAUAUAUAUAUAUAUCCCUAAACAUAUAGCUGCAUGUAUCUUUCUAUCUAUUCAUCUAAGUAAUCACUUUUUACAACCCUCCUACAUCCCUAUAUGCUUAGCUUAGCCUAGCUUCCAAAAUUGAAUUAUUUCACCUACCUGGCUUUCAUACAAAAUUCAUCUAGACGUUUCCAUUGUCCGUAUCUAAUUAAUCCAAGUUUGGAUUCGUUAAUUUCGCACUGAAGAUGCUAACCACAAAGUUUGGUUCUAUUAUAUUUGCAUGCACACCAUCUGUAUUCCAAAACUGAAAUGCCAGAAGCAUGAAAUAACGUAGCUUUAAUCUGGUUUGUUUAAUUGAGCAUGAAAUUUGCAAAGGCUAUUUAUCUUUUGGUGAGUUCAUCAUGAAAAUCACUAGCUAGCUAAUACAGAUGCUAAUGAAGUAGAUGACAAAACCAGAGCAUGCAUGCUUUGGGCAUUUACAGGGUUUCAGUUUGCCUUCAUUUCCAGUAAGUGGUAUAACGCAAACAAAACACUACCUUAUAAGUUAGUGAGGAAGACCUCAUGAAUUGCAUGCAGUUUCCUACCUUAAAGCUUUUUCUUCCAUUUGGAUAGAAACUCCAAACUCCAGAGGGGCUUGAAGUUGGAGAAGAGAAUAUGACCAAAAACCGGACUCAGGAUUCAAAUUUAUAUCUGUGAAUGGCUCACUAUUAUGGGAUAGCCAUUUAAGACUAAGGCUAAAAGAUAUCUAUGUACUAUUAGAGGGUUGUUGAUCUUAGUGUUCACAAAGAUGUGCACAGCAACUACUGCAUAACAGAAUAUUGCUUUGUUGGAUACAAAGUCCUUUCAAUAGGUCAAGAACUAAGUGAAGCAUGUAAUUUUCUCUUCUAUAGUUUCAAUAAUCAUGUAAAAUAAAUGGCAACCAAGAAUUCUUCCUUCAGUGAUGCAUUGGUUUCUGGCAUUAUUGAUCAACUGAAUUUGCUACAUGAUAAGUAGCUGUUUUUGUUUUGUGUGUUUUUUCUUCUUCUGCUUUUUAGGCAAUUACCUGAUCAUCUCAUACACACGUCUUAGUGGACCGCUGUCUCACUCUCUCUCAUCUGCAUCACUUCCUCGUCGAAUGAAACAAAUUCACUCACCACGGAUGGGUGAUUCUCUCACCUUCUCGAUCUGCCUCUACAUUCUUUUGCUAAAUCUGUUUUCCCUCAAACCCUCGUUUUCUCCACAGCCCCUCUUGCUCUUUCUCUCCGAUCUUGAUGUCACCCACCAAAUUGAACUUCGAAGAACUUCAUGGCCCUUGGGUUGACUUCGAUUCGGGGAUUAUUAUUUUUGGGUAAUCUCAAUUUAAAUCUCCUCUCUUGUCGAACCCGAUGAUUCAGAUUCAAUGGCCAGGUCACUUGUGUGAGGCUCGUCUGAGCAGCAUGCGAAGGCACUUGAUCGAAGGAGCAGUAGCAACAUGUUCCCUUCCACAACUAUCGCUCAUUCGGAUGAAUACUACAAAUCUGAUCAAAGAAAGCAUAAGAAUGGGCUACAAUGAUUUUGGAGAUUUCCAUUAUUCUCAUGGCAACUUGGGGAUGCUUUUAAGAGCUAUGUUUGUACUCUUGAUUAUUGUACUACAUCAAAGCAUACUGUUCAUAGGUGCAUGUGUUCCAUUCUGGUCAGCAUAGAGAUGGGUCAAUUUACUCAUGUCGCAAGCAAUGUUAACAAAGCAGAACAAACACUAGAAGCUAUGUCGCAAGCUAUGAUAAUCUUCACAAGUAGUUUGUUGCAUGGUUUUAUGAUUAUCAUAAACUUUUUUGGCCUAUUAAUGCUUAAAUGUACAUGAAAGUAAAAUUUUCUAUGUUAAUUGAUGAAUGCCUCAAGGACCUAAAAAUUUCAAUAAAGCUGUCAAGGUGCUUAUCAUUUGUCUUAAGAAGAUUGAUAAUGACAACUAUCUUGAGGUACUAUCUUCUUUAUUUGAGCUAAAAGAUAAGCUUCUUAUGCAAAUUAACUUCUUUAUUUGAUUAUGUACUGUUUUAUAAUAGCUGAACUAAGGAUGAAUGUUGAAAGCAUUUUCAUGUUUUGUUUACAUAUGUGCUUGCAGAAAAUGAUAGUAGCAGAUGAUUAGAUUAAAGCCCUGAAGUCUGAACUCAGUCGUAAGCUUGCCGGAAUUCAAUGAAUGGACAGCUCAAGAUAUUCUUGAAACUUCAAGCAGCUCAAUUAUAAAUAAGAAAUUUUUGGACAGCAUAAUGCAAUUAUGUGGGUUCUUUCUCCUACUUCUAGAUACCCAUAUGAUGCAAUUACCGUCUCAAAGUUGCUAUGUCAAUGAGUAGAGAGAAAUAGAUUGAAAUUUUUCUGAAUGCAUGCAUUUGAGGUUGCCUUCUUCGUUUGGGUUCCAGCCCAAUUUGGAGUAAAAUUGUGCUACCACGUGCACACUGUGAUCAUUGUUACAAGAGUUCUCUUAGCGUAAGAGUAUCGAAAACUUAUAUCAGGAGCUUCUUCCUCCCAAGCACAAUGAUUAUCAUAAGAUGCUCGUAAGAUGCUGAGGUUUGUUCCUCUUCUUUUUCCCCAAGUAUUUUGUUUAUUAUUGGAGUGGAUUGGAUGUUAGAGAACUUGCAAUUCAAUUUGGGUGUGUUCAGAUCAUUCUCUUUGUUCCAAAGGGUUUACCCCUGUAAGUUUUAAUUCUCUUUUUGACAUGUGUUAUCAACUUAUCAUAGAGCAUGGUACCACAUGUGGAAGUCACCUAAAUUGUUUCUGCAAUUGGAUAUAAUUCAUGUAUAAGAUUAUGAUUUGCCCAGUUUUCUUAGGUAUACCAGGACAGACGCAACUUUUACUUCCUAAUUUUGUUCCUAAAUAUGCUGUAGGACUUUUUUUUUUUUUUUUUUUUUUUUUGUUGUGUUCGUGGUCAUCGGGUAACACCCUGAACUUAAGGAUAGGCUUGCUGCUGUACAUCAUUCUGAUAAUCCAAAGGACACUGCUGAAGUUUCCUCUGCAAACUACUCUGCUCGAGAUUAUGGAGUGAGGGCUGCGAUGUUUGUCAGAGAUGCUAAGGCUCUUUGUCCACAACUUGUCAUUUUUCCUUAUGAUUUUGAAGCGUAUGAGGAGGUGCAUGAUUAUUUAUAUGAACUUCCCAUCAAGACGCUUCCAGGAAUAGGACGCAUUUUAGAGGAGAAAUUGAAGAAGCGAAAUAUUUUGAUUUAUGGACAGUUGCGUGCGAUUCCUAAGGUGUCUUUAUUGAUGAAUCUGAUGAUAAAAGGCCUUGUUCACAUUAGUGACACUAAAGCCCUUUUAAUUUCUCAGGGUGACCACCUAAGUCCUCUGCAGCUACAUUACUCUUCCUCCGUAUGCACUUGUAACACAGGGUAAGAUACUAGAAGAUAAUAUGGCUGGCAUUCUAAAGUAAUGGCACCAUGAUGUGAGGAGGAAAAGGAAGAAGGAAGAAGGAAGAACAAGAAUCACAAUCUGCACGCACGUCUCUUUCCCUGGAAUGGAGCUCCAUGAGGCACAACAUAUGUAUGUGCAGAUUUCUUACGUACCUCUGGUAUGAAUCAAA